rnacentral:rRNA from 1 species
GACGAACGCUGGCGGCGUGCUUAACACAUGCAAGUCGAACGGAAAGGCCCUGCUUUUGUGGGGUGCUCGAGUGGCGAACGGGUGAGUAACACGUGAGUAACCUGCCCUUGACUUUGGGAUAACUUCAGGAAACUGGGGCUAAUACCGGAUAGGAGCUCCUGCUGCAUGGUGGGGGUUGGAAAGUUUCGGCGGUUGGGGAUGGACUCGCGGCUUAUCAGCUUGUUGGUGGGGUAGUGGCUUACCAAGGCUUUGACGGGUAGCCGGCCUGAGAGGGUGGCCGGCCACAUGGGGGCUGAGAUACGGCCCAGACUCCUACGGGAGGCAGCAGUGGGGAAUAUUGCACAAUGGGAGGAAGCCGGAUGCAGCAACGCCGCGUGCGGGAUGACGGCCUUCGGGUUGUAAACCGCUUUCGCCUGUGACGAAGCGUGAGUGACGGUAAUGGGUAAAGAAGCACCGGCUAACUACGUG